UUUUAGUAGGCUUUGGGCCAAUGAAAAUUUGACUUGUGCUUGUAUUAUCGUUUGACAUUUGUGGUUUAGCAAGUACUUUGUGCAGUUUUUGUGUCGUUUGAGAAUGUCGAAACACAAGUUAUUUGAUAUUGUUCAACCCUACGUUCAACAGUUCCGUUCAACGUUCAACCGUACCCUUUUAUCAGCCGUUUCUUCUUCUAGCGCGUAAAGUUACAGGAUUUACUGAUAGAAGCUGUUUUGUGAUGGUAUGGAUACAUGGAAGAAUGAAUUGGUCUCCGUGAAAAUUGGAUUUUCGGCGGGAUUUCUUAACGCGAGUUUCGGGUUUGUGUGCAUCGAGUAGCGCGGAUCGUGGACGG
rnacentral:lncRNA from 1 species